rnacentral:rRNA from 1 species
UACGUAGGAGGCGAGCGUUGUCCGGAGUUACUGGGCGUAAAGCGUGCGCAGGCGGUUCGUUGUGUCGGCGGUGAAAGCCCCGGGCUUAACCUGGGAAUGGCCGUUGAAACUGGCGAACUGGAGUGUGGCAGAGGGGGGUGGAAUUCCGCGUGUAGCAGUGAAAUGCGUAGAGAUGCGGAGGAACACCGAUGGCGAAGGCAGCCCCCUGGGCUAACACUGACGCUCAGGCACGAAAGCGUGGGGAGCAAACAGG